rnacentral:lncRNA from 1 species
UUGCAUGUUUCCUACUGUCACCCAAAUAAAAAAUUUUAUCCUAAAGGAGAGCUGUUGUCACCCAAUUGUACCUCAUGGUUUAAUAAUGGACAUAAAAAAUGGAUGGAGAACACGGAAAAAUUGCCAAUCAUACUUGAAAAAGAUAGUUCAAUCCUCAUCCAAACAUCUCGAAAAACUUCCAGUAAUAUGAGAACCUGAGCCAUGAGGGCCUUAUCAAGGACAGU